GAUGAAGAACGCAGCGAAAUGCGAUAAGUAAUGCGAAUUGCAGAAUUCAGUGAAUCAUCGAAUCUUUGAACGCACAUUGCGCCCUCUGGUAUUCCGGGGGGCAUGCCUGUUCGAGCGUCAUUACAACCCUCAAGCUCUGCUUGGUAUUGGGCUCUGCCGGUCCUGGCAGGCCUCAAAGUCAGUGGCGGUGCCAUCCGGCUCCAAGCGUAGUAAUUCUCCUCGCUUCGGAGGCCGCGGUGCGUGCUAGCCAGCAACCCCCAAUUUUUUUCAGGUUGACCUCGGAUCAGGUAGGGAUACCCGCUGAACUUAAGCAUAUCAAUAAGCGGAGGA
rnacentral:misc_RNA from 1 species